ensembl:snoRNA SNORA75 Small nucleolar RNA SNORA75
UUCUCAUUAAGCUCCUUUCCAUUGAUUGAUUAGGAUUUGCUGUUAAUUGAUUAGGAUUGAUUGAUUAGGAUCAGUUUUAGGAUUCACACGAGAAGAGAGAAUUCACACAGCUAGCAUCCUUGCCUUCUGUCCUCAUAGAGGUAUAUUCAGCUCUUUUGUGAGACAUUC